rnacentral:rRNA from 1 species
ACCCGCUGAACUUAAGCAUAUCAAUAAGCGGAGGAAAAGAAACCAACAGGGAUUGCCCUAGUAACGGCGAGUGAAGCGGCAACAGCUCAAAUUUGAAAUCUGGCGCAAGCCCGAGUUGUAAUUUGUAGAGGAUGCUUCUGGGCAGCGGCCGGUCUAAGUUCCUUGGAACAGGACGUCACAGAGGGUGAGAAUCCCGUAUGUGAUCGGUUGGCACCCGCUACGUAGCUCCUUCGACGAGUCGAGUUGUUUGGGAAUGCAGCUCUAAAUGGGAGGUAAAUGCCUUCUAAAGCUAAAUACCGGCCAGAGACCGAUAGCGCACAAGUAGAGUGAUCGAAAGAUGAAAAGCACUUUGGAAAGAGAGUUAAAAAGCACGUGAAAUUGUUGAAAGGGAAGCGCAUGCAACCAGACUUGUCCGCGGUGUUCCGCCGGUCUUCUGACCGGUCUACUCGCCGCGGGCAGGCCAGCAUCAUCUGGGAGCGCCGGAUAAAGGUAGCGGGAAUGUGGCCCCUCGGGGUGUUAUAGCUCGCUACACAAUACGGCGCCUCCCGGGUGAGGUCCGCGCUUCGGCUAGGAUGCUGGCGUAAUGGUUGUAUGCGGCCCGUCUUGAAACACGGACCAAGGAGUCUACCAUCUAUGCGAGUGUUCGGGUGUCAAACCCCUACGCGCAAUGAAAGUGAACGGAGGUGGGAACCGCAAGGUGCACCAUCGACCGAUCCUGAUGUCUUCGGAUGGAUUUGAGUAAGAGCAUAGCUGGUGGGACCCGAAAGAUGGUGAACUAUGCCUGAAUAGGGUGAAGCCAGAGGAAACUCUGGUGGAGGCUCGCAGCGGUUCUGACGUGCAAAUCGAUCGUCAAAUUUGGGUAUAGGGGCGAAAGACUAAUCGAACCAUCUAGUAGCUGGUUCCUGCCGAAGUUUCC